rnacentral:sRNA from 1 species
CUGCCGACCGGGUGUCGGAAAAGGAGGCGGAAGCGGGGAGGAGCCGCCGCCAGAGCCAGACUGCAUCCGCCGCGGCGUCUCCAUGGCACAACCCUGGCCUCCGACUUCAAAGACUACAUAAGGCGGCGUUUCUGGGCGCAGCCGUGUCGCUCCUGGACAGUUGCUGUGCGACUUGGACAGUAGAGGAGCGCCUCCCAAGUUUUCAUCCAACUGCCAACCCCAAAGCUUCCACCCUUCUCCCCUCAGAGAGCACGUUUGAUGCCGGGCCCCUUGAGAGGCUCAUUGACAAGCCCGCCCCUCUGGGUCCCCCUGAGCAGAGCCUGCUGACCCAAUUGCCCACCUUUGCGGCUUUGAUGCCUAGCCAUGUCUGCCUCAUCCUCAGGCGGCUCCCCCAGGUUUCCAUCGUGUGGGAAGAACGGAGUAACGAGUCUCACGCAGAAAAAGGUCUUGAGAGCACCUUGUGGCGCACCCAGUGUAACUGUGACGAUCAACCAUUUUUGUGUUGUCCUCCCCCACCUGCCAGAAGCCAACCAUGAAGGACCGCUCUUCAACUCCCCCCUUACAUGUUCACGUGGAUGAGAACACCCCUGUCCACGUCCACAUAAAAAAACUCCCGAAACCAUCAGCGACCAGCAGCCAGAAAUCUCACAAGCGAGGAAUGAAAGGGGACACUGUGAAUGUGCGGCGGAGUGUCCGGGUGAAAACCAAGGUACCUUGGAUGCCCCCUGGAAAAUCAUCUGCCCGGCCUGUGGGAUGCAAGUGGGAGAAUCCACCUCAUUGCCUGGAGAUCACGCCACCAUCUUCAGAAAAGCUGGUCUCAGUGUUGCGGUUAAGUGACCUCUCUACAGAAGAUGAUGACUCAGGUCACUGUAAAAUGAACCGUUAUGAUAAGAAGAUUGAUAGUCUAAUGAAUGCGGUUGGUUGUCUGAAGUCUGAGGUGAGGGAGGUAGGGGGCUGGGAUAGCUACUACCCUGAGGAUGUGCAGGAGCACCCAGGUGGAUUUCCUGCCUGGUCCCUCAGCCUGCGUCUGUAGGCCUUCAGGCCUCCUCUGCAG